UACGUAGGGUGCGAGCGUUGUCCGGAAUUAUUGGGCGUAAAGAGCUUGUAGGCGGUUUGUCGCGUCUGCUGUGAAAAUCCGGGGCUCAACCCGGACUUGCAGUGGGUACGGGCAGACUAGAGUGUGGUAGGGGAGACUGGAAUUCCUGGUGUAGCGGUGAAAUGCGCAGAUAUCAGGAGGAACACCGAUGGCGAAGGCAGGUCUCUGGGCCGACUACUGCGCUGAGAAGCGAAAGCAUGGGGAGCGAACAGG
rnacentral:rRNA from 1 species